UGGGAAUAUUGGACAAUGGGGGGAACCCUGAUCCAGCCAUGCCGCGUGUGUGAAGAAGGCCUUUUGGUUGUAAAGCACUUUAAGCGAGGAGGAGGCUACUCUGAUUAAUACUCGAGAGAUAGUGGACGUUACUCGCAGAAUAAGCACCGGCUAACUCUGUGCCAGCAGCCGCGGUAAUACAGAGGGUGCGAGCGUUAAUCGGAUUUACUGGGCGUAAAGCGUGCGUAGGCGGCUUUUUAAGUCGGAUGUGAAAUCCCUGAGCUUAACUUAGGAAUUGCAUUCGAUACUGGGAAGCUAGAGUAUGGGAGAGGAUGGUAGAAUUCCAGGUGUAGCGGUGAAAUGCGUAGAGAUCUGGAGGAAUACCGAUGGCGAAGGCAGCCAUCUGGCCUAAUACUGACGCUGAGGUACGAAAGCAUGGGGAGCAAACAGGAUUAGAUACCCUGGUAGUCCAUGCCGUAAACGAUGUCUACUAGCCGUUGGGGCCUUUGAGGCUUUAGUGGCGCAGCUAACGCGAUAAGUAGACCGCCUGGGGAGUACGGUCGCAAGACU
rnacentral:rRNA from 1 species